rnacentral:rRNA from 1 species
GACGAACGCUGGCGGCGUGCUUAACACAUGCAAGUCGAACGAUGAACUUGGAGCUUGCUCUGGGGGAUUAGUGGCGAACGGGUGAGUAACACGUGAGUAACCUGCCCUGGACUCUGGGAUAACUUCGAGAAAUCGGAGCUAAUACCGGAUAGGACCUUGCACCGCAUGGUGCGGGGUGGAAAGUUUUUCGGUUUGGGAUGGACUCGCGGCCUAUCAGCUUGUUGGUGAGGUAAUGGCUCACCAAGGCGUCGACGGGUAGCCGGCCUGAGAGGGUGACCGGCCACACUGGGACUGAGACACGGCCCAGACUCCUACGGGAGGCAGCAGUGGGGAAUAUUGCACAAUGGGCGCAAGCCUGAUGCAGCAACGCCGCGUGCGGGAUGACGGCCUUCGGGUUGUAAACCGCUUUUAGUAGGGAAGAAGCCUUCGGGUGACGGUACCUGCAGAAAAAGGACCGGCUAACUACGUGCCAGCAGCCGCUGUAAGAC